AAAUGUGAUCUCUACGACAUGAGCAUCUCCAGAAGAGGAAAAGAAUCCUGUGGAAAUAUUACUUCUUGAGCUGAGAGGUUUUGAAGUAAAAUACAACCUUCCUAACAUCUGGCAUACCACCUCAGGACAUCUGAAAGUGCACAAAGUGGACAGAUAUUAUCAGAUAACAGAAGGCUAUGUUGAGUAGAUUUAAUCUUAAUUUUAUACAGAUAGUGGCACAAAAUAGUUAUGAACACAAACACCAUACCAAGAAAUAUCACUUGUAUGCAGCAUUUUACAUCUAAUUUGUAGAUUGCCAGUUGUGCAAUACCAAGUUUCUUAGAAUAGCCAGAAUUGUCAUAUAUAAUUUAUUCUGUAGUUUCCAUUGCUAAACAGAAAAACGUACAGAGAGUUAUCUAAAAAUGUGUUGACAUGCUUGUAUAUAAAUAAUAAAUACUUUUGUAUUAUUUCCUAAGGGAGCUGUCAGAGAAGAACUCCAGCAACCUCUGGUAUCUUAUCUUUUUCAGCAGCAUUGAUAUACACGACAUUGUUGUUCCAGUCAAACACAGGAUCUGAAUAAGUCCAGAAGCAUCAGUAACUUAAUAGAGUUAUCUUGUGGAACUGUAUGGAUAUAUACAGUUCCAUUUGAAUUACAGAGAGGUUGUGUUCACAGUGCACAAUGCACGAGUAUGGAAUACUGUAGUGACUUUAACAAGGGUAGCCUUCCCCUUGAACUUCAAGCUAGCUCAGGUGUCUCCUCAGAGCACUUCAGAGCGCCGUGAAUCUUUUAUUUCCAAACUGGUCAGUUCCAUGGAAUAUUGAAUGUCUGCUUUAAAGUUCCUAAUAUACAGAAAUUCUAUGGCAUCUAGAAUAAUAUGUAAUUGUGUGAUCUUAUGAGCUAGCAUUUUCCAUACCUAUAAAGAUGUCUGAAAUAUGUAUGUUCCUUUUUUUUUCUUGUGUUAAAUUGGCUAAAUAUUUUCUUUUGAAUAAAGAAUUUAGAAAAAAAUA